rnacentral:rRNA from 1 species
GACGAACGCUGGCGGCGUGCUUAACACAUGCAAGUCGAACGGAAAGGCCCUGCUUUUGUGGGGUGCUCGAGUGGCGAACGGGUGAGUAACACGUGAGUAACCUGCCCUUGACUUUGGGAUAACUUCAGGAAACUGGGGCUAAUACCGGAUAGGAGCUCCUGCUGCAUGGUGGGGGUUGGAAAGUUUCGGCGGUUGGGGAUGGACUCGCGGCUUAUCAGCUUGUUGGUGGGGUAGUGGCUUACCAAGGCUUUGACGGGUAGCCGGCCUGAGAGGGUGACCGGCCACAUUGGGACUGAGAUACGGCCCAGACUCCUACGGGAGGCAGCAGUGGGGAAUAUUGCACAAUGGGCGGAAGCCUGAUGCAGCAACGCCGCGUGCGGGAUGACGGCCUUCGGGUUGUAAACCGCUUUCGCCUGUGACGAAGAGUGAGUGACGGUAAUGGGUAAAGAAGCACCGGCUAACUACG